GAUGAACGCUAGCGGCAGGCCUAAUACAUGCAAGCUGAACGGUAAUUCUUGUAGCAAUAUGAGAGCUAGAGUAGCGUAAGGGUGCGUAACACGUAUGCAAUCUGCCCACAACAGGAGGAUAGCUCUUCGAACGAGGAAUUAAUACUCCAUAAGAUCACGCGAGGGCAUCUGAGAGUGAUUAAACUACGGGGUUGUGGAUGAGCAUGCGUCUGAUUAGUUAGUUGGCGGGGUAACGGCCCACCAAGACGAUGAUCAGUAGGGGAACUGAGAGGUUGGUCCCCCACACUGGCACUGAGAUACGGGCCAGACUCCUACGGGAGGCAGCAGUAGGGAAUAUUGGACAAUGGGUGAGAGCCUGAUCCAGCCAUGCCGCGUGCAGGAAGACAGCCUUCUGGGUUGUAAACUGCUUUUUUCAGGGGAUAAAAUACCGGUGCGCCGGGAAUUGCAAGUACCUGGAGAAUAAGCCACGGCUAACUACGUGCCAGCCGCCGCUGUAACAC
rnacentral:rRNA from 1 species